GUUCAAAUCAGCAAGAGAGAAGUGACAGUGACGAGGUGCAACGUUUGAAGGAAAAAAUUGCGGAGUUGGAACAAGAUAAGAUAGAGAAGCAUGCGGUGAUGGAGAAAAUCGAAGAAAGUGCGAGGUUGUACGCC